rnacentral:misc_RNA from 1 species
GAUGAAGAACGCAGCGAAAUGCGAUAACUAAUGUGAAUUGCAGAAUUCAGUGAAUCAUCGAGUCUUUGAACGCACAUUGCGCCCUCUGGUAUUCCGGAGGGCAUGCCUGUCCGAGCGUCAUUGCUGCCCUCCAGCCCGGCUGGUGUGUUGGGCCCCGUCCCCCUUCCCGGGGGGACGGGCCCGAAAGGCAGCGGCGGCACCGCGUCCGGUCCUCGAGCGUAUGGGGCUUUGUCACCCGCUCUUGUAGGCCCGGCCGGCGCCAGCCGACCCCCUCAAUCUAUUUUUCAGGUUGACCUCGGAUCAGGUAGGGAUACCCGCUGAACUUAAGCAUAUCAAUAAGCGAGGA